AGUAAUUUAGCUGGCUAAAGUUUCAUACCAAGUGUAUCAACAGAGCAAGAAGAGAUGGCCUAUUCUUGGUUUUACUCUUGGCAAUGUGGUUGGGAUGUAUCUGGCUCAGAACUAUGAUAUUCCUAACAUUGCAAAGAAGCUUGAAGAUUUUAAGAAGGAUGUGGAAGCGAAGAAGAAACCUCCCAGUGACAAAUCCUAAGAGAGCGAUGUUACCCAGAUCACCUCUGUGCAUGCAUCAAGGAUGCAAUUUACCUUUCAGAGAAGAAAGAUCAAGUAGAGAGUUGGCGUGGAAGGUUUCUCUACUUUCAGUCUCCUAGAACUGGAAUGUCCUUUUGAAAGAGCAGUUGUGAACUUUUCCUGGGCCUGAUUUUCAAGAGUUUCAGAAUUUGGACUUGCAGCUGAUAUGUGACUGGAUAAGAUAAUUUGUAUUUUUCAUUAUGCUUUUCCUAAUAUUUUGUAACCCAUUUUUACCUGAUCCUGUUAGUCCUGUUACUGUGCGUACCUCAUACUUUAUAAUACCCUGGUUCUUAGAAUAUCACAAAAGAAAUUAAAUGCAUCAAGAAGUAACUUCCAGGGUUUCUUGUCAUUUGUUGUGAGCAGCGGUACUUCAUUGUCCUUAAGAUUCUCAUUCCAUUAUUGGAGAUAGGAAAGUUCAUUUAUCAAACUAGGAACCUGAGUGGGAGAGGAGAGCCCUUGCUUUUUCCAUUACAUUAAAUGAUCACCUCCAGCAGUGUAGACUUUGCACAAACAUGGCUGAUAUCAAAAAGUAUAAGAGGCUGUCAUCCUUAACCUAUGUUUCAAAUUCAUUGUUUCUUCUAUUAUUGUCUCUUCCUCUUCUUUCCCUUCUGCUUGAUUACUUGAUGAUGUCUCUAGAGCAAUGAGGAGGAUGGGAGAGAGAAGAGUUAUCUUCCAUAAGUGGUAGUUGGGGCAUAUGGAGGUCAGCAGUUACAUUGUGAAUCCAAACCAUUCAUUUUAUGUACUUAAUGGUCCAGUUUGUGUAGUUCUAAGUAUGCUUUUUUUAACUGCCUCUUGGUGUGCAACAAGGACUAGA
rnacentral:lncRNA from 1 species